CCUUUGUACACACCGCCCGUCGCUACUACCGAUUGAAUGGCUCAGUGAGGCUUUCGGACUGGCCUAGAGGAGUCGGCAACGACAUCUCAUGGCCGGAAAGUUAUCCAAACUCGGUCAUUUAGAGG
rnacentral:rRNA from 1 species